CACCGCCACGGUAAUACGAAGGGUGCAAGCGUUACUCGGAAUUACUGGGCGUAAAGCGUGCGUAGGUGGUGGUUUAAGUCCGUUGUGAAAGCCCUGGGCUCAACCUGGGAAUUGCAGUGGAUACUGGGUCACUAGAGUGUGGUAGAGGAUAGUGGAAUUUCCGGUGUAGCAGUGAAAUGCGUAGAGAUCGGAAGGAACAUCUGUGGCGAAGGCGACUAUCUGGGCCAACACUGACACUGAGGCACGAAAGCGUGGGGAGCAAACAGGAUUAGAUACCCGUGUAGUCCCUGUCUCUUAUACA
rnacentral:rRNA from 1 species